rnacentral:rRNA from 1 species
AACUAUAACGGUCCUAAGGUAGCGAAAUUCCUUGUCAGGUAAGUUCUGACCCGCACGAAAGGUGUAACGAUUUGGGCGCUGUCUCGGCAGCAGACUCGGUGAAAUCUUAGUACCUGUGAAAAUGCAGGUUACCCGCAACUAGACGGAAAGACCCCAUGGAGCUUUACUGCAGCCUGAUAUUGAAUUCUGGUCAUACAUGUACAGGAUAGGUGGGAGACAAAGAGACGUGCACGCCAGUGUACGAGGAGUCGACGUUGGGAUACCACUCUUGUGUGACCGGGGUUCUAACCUGGUAUCGAGAACAGGUACGGGGAGAGUGUCAGGUGGGCAGUUUGACUGGGGCGGUCGCCUCCCAAAGAGUAACGGAGGCGCCCAAAGGUACGCUCAGAUUGGAUGGAAACCAAUCGUCGAGUGCAAUUGCAGAAGCGUGCUUGACUGUGAGACAGACAAGUCGAACAGGGACGAAAGUCGGGAAUAGUGAUCCGGCGGUGCCGAAUGGAAGGGCCGUCGCUCAACGGAUAAAAGCUACCCUGGGGAUAACAGGCUGAUCUCGCCCAAGAGUUCACAUCGACGGCGAGGUUUGGCACCUCGAUGUCGGCUCAUCGCAUCCUGGAGCUGGAUUCGGUUCCAAGGGUUGGGCUGUCCGCCCAUUAAAGCGGUACGCGAGCUGGGUUCAGAACGUCGUGAGACAGUUCGGUCCCUAUCUGUUGUGGGCGAAGGAGAUCUGCGGAGAGCUGUCCUCAGUACGAGAGGACCGGGAUGGACCUACCGCUGGUGCACCGGUUGUUCCGCCAGGGGCAUAGCCGGGUAGCUAAGUAGGGAAAGGAUAAGCGCUGAAAGCAUCUAAGCACGAAGCCUACUCCAAGAUGAGAUCUCCCAUUCGCAAGAAGUAAGACCCCUUAAAGACGAUAAGGUAGAUAGGCCAGGGAUGGAAGUGCAGUGAUGUACGGAGUUGACUGGUACUAAUCGGUCGAGGACUUAAUCA